AUUGAACGCUGGCGGAAUGCUUUACACAUGCAAGUCGAACGGCAGCACGGACUUCGGUCUGGUGGCGAGUGGCGAACGGGUGAGUAAUAUAUCGGAACGUAUCCAAUAAUGGGGGAUAACUAGUCGAAAGAUUGGCUAAUACCGCAUACGCCCUACGGGGGACAGCAGGGGAUCGUCGGACCUUGCGUUAAUGGAGCGGCCGAUAUCUGAGUAGCUAGUUGGUGGGGUAAAGGCCCACCAAGGCGACGAUCAGUAGCUGGUCUGAGAGGACGACCAGCCAGACUGGAACUGAGACACGGUCCAGACUCCUACGGGAGGCAGCAGUGGGGAAUUUUGGACAAUGGGCGCAAGCCUGAUCCAGCCAUUCCGCGUGAGUGAAGAAGGCCUUCGGGUUGUAAAGCUCUUUCGCAAGGGAAGAAAACUUAGCCACUAACAUUGGCUGAGGUUGACGGUACCUUGAUAAGAAGCACCGGCUAACUACGUGCCAGCAGCCGCAGUAACAC
rnacentral:rRNA from 1 species